CCCGCCGGCCUGACGCGGGGCGUCCUAGGCUCCGCUGGGCCGCCGCCUGGCUCGCGGAAGACACGCCGAGAAACGUUCCAUCGGGGCCCCAGAAACCUCAGAACAGGUUUUAUUAAACGCCUCCCCUCCCCUAGCUCCGUCUCUUGGAUACAUUGAAAGGCACAGGGUUUCCCCACCCCCCGCCGAGCGCAGACGCAAUGAAAAUAAUUAUAUAGGAAGGGACAUUCCGGUAAGGACGCGGAAUCCGAAGGAGGAAGUAAAACAAUAGCCUUUGUUCUGCUUCUCGACCGCGGCCUCUUUAAGAGAAUCCACCAGGAAAUGGGAGAUCGGGUUACAGCCCGCACCGGGGUAAAGGGGCGAGCUAGCGAGCGAGCGAGUCGCGGAGCGCGACGUCGGAGACAAAGCGGGGCGGCCACCGGCAGAAGCCCAGCCUGGCCGCGGGGGAUUCCCCGCGAAGGUGGGCGCCCGGAAAAGAGGAGGCGCGCGCGCCCGCCAGGCCGGGGAUGCGGGCGCUGCCCCAGCCGAGCACGCGUCCUGGAGAAGGAAAGGCUGUUGGGAGGUUAUCAAAGGCAGUUGAGUUCCUUUUCCUGACCCCCCUUCCUCCCUGUUUCGAAAUCCUCUGUCUUUUUAAAGCAAUAGCGGCCGCUACCAACCGAAAUAGGUGACUCGACUGCAAAGUUGACAGGACGUGUUCCUGGAGAUAAUACCCCUCCCCAGGACUGCUUCUCUGAAACCAUCCUUGGCGGAUGGGACGACCCCGGGAUCCUGCCGGGGGAGGAAUAUUUGGUUGGAAAAACAAUUGAGAGGAGGUUAAAUCCUGUCGGGCUGAAGGUUCUAGCCUUGAGUGACUCAACAAAAGUGGCGUGUAAAGGAGACUGUGUGUGGUUCCAAAGCAAACUACGCAGUAGCAGCUGUGGAAGACAUUGCAUUUAGCCAGGGGUGUUAGGGAAUGAAUUAUGGUCUCUUGUGACUUUCUACAUACAAACUGGAAGAGGAACCUGAAUGUCUAGUCUUUAUCCUCCAAAAGAGUGAUGAGGAGUGGCGAGAAGUAGGGAAGAAUGAAGUUAAGAACCAUGUGGAAGUGGAUGUGCUUAAUUAAAAAACAUGGCCAUUAUUGUAGUAUAAUGUUAUGUUUUUACAAUGAAAAUAAUAACAUUUAAAAAAUAUAAACUCCAAAAACAAAAACCCCACAAAAAAACACCAUCCACAUAUCUCUGCCAAAUCAGAAUUCCUUAACCUAAUGGGCAUGCUUCUGUAAAAAGGAUCUGUCAUAACUGGUGGGGUGGGAAAGAAGAGGAGAAAUGUUUCUGCUUAUCCAAAGAAGACAUGGGUUUUUAAAUCUUAAGAGUCACUGCCUUAAACUAUAUAUUUUCUUUACUAUAUCAGUCAGGGUGCAUUCAGGCAGAAUUACCUCCAUGUGUGUGUUGUGGGAGUGUAUUGUGUAUAUAGAGAGAGAGAGAGAGAGAGAGAAUGAUUGUGUAUUUCUGAUGGCAUGCUGACUGAUACAGUAAAGGAAGCAUACAUAUAUACAGCAGGCAGCUGGAAGAGCAGAUCUUCCAGCUGGGUGAAACCAAGAAAUCAAGAAAUGGAUGAAAUCUAUGCUCAACUAUGGGUGAAACCAAGAAAAAGCUAGAACUCAAAAGCAUGAGCUGGAGCCCAUGAGAAUGGACUGAAACCCACGUCAAUCUCAUUGCCUCUGACCUUGAUGUCCUGGGUGUCCUGCGCGCGCGCACACACACACACACACACACACACACACACACACACACACACACACGCCUGGCUCAGGAGUUGCAGAAGCUGAAGGAGGAUCAUGGUGAAGGCGGAGCGGUCAGUGGCCCAGACACUGCCCCACACCAAUGAGGGAGGCAACAGAGGAGUGACAAUAUGUGUGAGCUACAAAAUAUCUGCUGCUUCAUUUCUACCUUCCAAGUCACUCCACACUCUCUCCUGUGUCCCACGCUAACUGGAAACAUACAGAGAAGGGAAUUCUGAGAAUGUAUUUCAAUCUAGCUAAGUUGUCACGUUACAAAGUCACUACGCAAAAUGAUCAGCUUCCCAUAGCCCUCUCCUGCUGUUAUAUUUUUAGAAUUUUUCAGUUCUCUGUCACAUCAUCCCCCAUCUAACCUUCAAACUAUUGUAUUCCAUAUGCCUUCUCCCUAUGGCAUCCCCAUCUCUCUUAAUAAUGCCAUCAUAUUAUCAACCUCCAAGUUAAUGAACCUCAAAAUAAUUUUUGACAUGCUGCUCUCGUCUAUGCCAUAAAUAUCGUCUCUUCCCAGAUCUUUCUGUCUCAUUCACAGAGUCUCCCUUAUCCUGCCAGCAGUGGCAACUCCAGUUUGGGUUAUUGCCACUUCCUUUUUCCACGGAACUUGUAUAGUUUAUCUAUAAUCACUACUGAAUCUUCUAUCUCUGCUCAAAUCUCUUACUUCAUUACUCCCAUUGCUAUCCUCAGGCCUUGUCCCACAUUACUCAAAACUCCACCCACACACACAAACUAUGAAACUAUUUGUUUUCUGUCAAGUAGAACCUGAAAAUCACCUCCUUCAUAAAUCCACCUCACACUGUAUAAAUGGAAGGUAUCCAAAAGAUAAGGAGUUGGAAUGCUGGAGUGGAUUUAUUAUGUAAGAACUACCGCUCUCCCCUAAUUAUGACCUGGGAGGGUUCAGAAGACACUCCCUUCAACAAGGCUUUAAGUGGUGCAUUGUUGAAGCAAACACCAGCACCCUUGCAGAGUCCUAUAGUAGCCAUUCUCUAAGCCAUGAAUGCUGCCGUUAGACUGGGCUCUCUGAAUUCACUGGGGAUGGUGGGAUACUGGAGUGACAGGUGUCAAGUGACAUUGCUUAACUAUUUUAACUACCAGAGAUAAGAAAACAUGGUUAUCAUAAUGGAUAGCAAAGCUAAAGUGAUAAUUAAUCACCAUGGUUUGAUCUUUGGUAUUGGCUAAUUUAUUGGGAUCUCCCUAGGACUGAAAUUAAUAGACAUCCUAUUAAAGUCUUACUUGACUUGUAUACACAGAAAAGCUCUAGGUCCAGAGUCAAAAAUUCUGACCUGAGUCCCAAUAACAGACAGUGCUGGAUCCUCAACUGAAUCCCAGACUUGAUUCAGUCCACAUAUAGAUGCAGAGCCCCUUAAAUUAAGGGGAGGCAGGUCUCCUUGAGGAAGAAACCUGCUACACUGCCAAAAAUGUA